AUUUACUUACUAUGGCCGUUAUUUUUUACUUCCAUAAACCUGGACAGUAUUGUGACUAUCCCAUUUAUUAUUUUGAGUUUUGCUGUGGACUAUUUUACGUUUGUAAUCACUUUUCAAUGCCUGAUUGAAGUUAUAGUUUAUGAAUGGCAAGUACUUAAACGAUGGCAUGCAACAGUAAUAUUGAUUAUUUUGUGUAAUGUACAUCAGCCCCAAUGGAGUACAAUGACCAAUUGGCUCAUAGUAUACGGGAUUCGUUCAGUUACACUUAUUGAAUUAUUGAUAAUAACCUUUUUAUACCCCUUGAGUAGACUUUUGGAGGACAUAACGUUCCAUAAUGGGAAUGCUCCUUCUUUUGUUGCUGCUUUAAACUUACGACUCGUGUGCUUAAUGUAUAUUGUAAG